AGUAUAAUAUAAUCAAAACUGUUUGAAUAAGCCUAUAUAUGUUUGGAAUUAUAAAACAAAUCUGAACAGUAUAUAUAGGUAGGUCAUAGGUUGAGGAGGUGAAUAAAAUGAGAGAAAAGGAGGGGAAACUCUACCAUAUUAUUUUAUAAAAUAAUGUGCUGUUUGAUUUUUUUUCAAAAAGCAAAUAUUACUUUGAUAAUAAUUAAAGAAAACUGAAAACCACACAUAGUUCGACCUUCUUCUUCUAAAGAUGAAGAAACUAAAACUAGAAAUUCUUUUUUUCUUUUUGCAAAGCAAAAGCAAGUUUAUUAAGAAAGUGAAGGGAUAAAGAAUGAUCCCCCAUAGGGAGAGCAGCAACUUGGGCCACUAGGCUGAUUAUACUGACUGUUACUUCUUGGUUAUAUACUUAACAAAAGGUAGAUUACUCAUGAGCUUUCUGGGAAAGAAGUGUGCCAUUCCCAAAACAGGAAAACUCAGAGAAAUUCUUGAAUCAUAGAAAUUAAUAACCGAAUGACAAUUUAGGGAUCAUUAAGCCCACCCUCCUUAUAUUACAGAUAAGGAAACUGAAGCACAGAGAAGCAAAGCAAGCUAUAGUUCCUAAGACCAAAGCCUGGAGAGAAAAGAAGUUGAACACAUUGAUGCGGGGAAAAUGCAGGUUCUCAGCAUAUGCUGUGAGAUCUAUGAACGCUGACUCACUCAUUUUGGAUGAGUUGGAACCUUGCUUUGUAG
rnacentral:lncRNA from 1 species